ensembl:lncRNA
GUGUAUGCAUGCAUUGAUUAUUUGUUACAUAUUUCAUUAUUCAGGCUAUUUUGUUUUUAAGUGUUUGCAUAUAAUUCAUUCAUUUUAUUUCUUGUUUGAGGAGAUUUUUUCUUAUUUGCUCAAAUCAGUUUGGUGUUGUUCUCUUCCUCCCAGACGUGUGCUUCCCUCUCUCUCCGCUCUCCGUCCAGAUCUGUCGUUCUCUGCCGCCGUGAACACAGCCCUGCAGGACUGGAACAACAUCUCCGUCUCUGAACGCCAGACACACUACAACACUGCCAGGACGUGAGCUGAGAAACUAACACUGCACACUUCUGAAACCCAAAUGAAUUAUUAUACAGUAACUGAAUUAAUCUGAUGCCAUCUUAAAUUGUAGAAAUGGUGGAUAAAGUGCAAAUCUUCUGAAUUUUGGGAGUUUAUCUGGUAUACUUCUGUAGGUUCACCGAGAUGGAAAAACAGGACAAGAGCGCCAACAGAGAUCCAACAGCUCCUCAAACAGACAAACACAGAGGUCAGCAUUAUUUGAACGGGUCAAGAUUAACUUUUGCUCCUAGGCGUCAUAUUUGAAAGACUUCGGUACAUGCAUAAUUGUUUAUUUAAUUAAACAAUAUGAAAAAAUAUUUUACAUUCAAAGCUAAACUUAGUCUAUGAUUCAAAUAAAGAGUCUCGUCACAUGACCAGAGAUCUGUCUGUCUUCAGGUCAACACCCGGAGGAGAAGAAAACAGGGAAAAGAUCGAAAAAGGGCGUCCAGGAGCUCGCCGAGGGUGCGCUGGCCGAGUACUCACAGCUCAUGGACGCUCUGGAGUCAAAGGUCAGCGAUGGGUCAGAGGUCACAGCAGCUGAAGACGAGGAUAUGUGUGCGCUGUUCAUCAACCAGCUGCUCGGCGAUACGACUGAGGCUGGUUUGGACAUGGACUACAUCAGCUCUCUGCUCUCCACAGAGGAUUCCCAGGACACACUUCCCGGGAUGAUUCCCGAGCCAGUCGCUGGCUGCUCCGAUUGGAUCUCUGAAGAUCAGAUUGUGUCUCCGUCCGCCGUCCAGAAGGAUUUCAGCACCUCGGACAGCACACAUCACAUGACGGAGAACGUAUUAGUGCCAUUUCAGGAUAACACCAAUGUGUUUCAAACGUUAGCUCAACCUCUGCUAGCGGACCCCGAGGGCCUAAGUGCUCGAACGGAUCCAAACGCUUCAGUCCAAGACACUCCUCAUCCUGAUCUUCACAACUUUGGUCCAGAAGUUGACGGAAACCAAAAAGACGAGACUUUGUCUGUUGCUGAACUUGAUUACGCCACUCAACCCAACUGCUUCAGUCUUCAGAACUACAAUUCCCAUCAUGCAGCAUUCCCUAAAAAUGACCCAGAACCACCAGAAACCCCUGUGAAUGAGCACCGCGGAGAGGUAAACAUGGUAGUUGGACAAAAGACGGAGGAAUGUAUGCAUGUAGGACGUAUAAAAGACAAGAAUAACAUGGAUUCAGAAACUCCCAUCAAGUCCCAGAGAACGAGAAGUGUUUGUUCCAAACAGACAUUGUCCAACAUUGAGGAAAAUUAUGUACACGAAAAUAAAAAACACAAAAGACAGAAGCCUAAAUUGGACGAUAAAGACAAAAAGAGGUUAAAAACUGCUGAAAACGGAUGUAGAAGGACUCAAAGGAAAUCAGUCAUGAAACGCAGAGCUCGAGCGCAAAAAACGGAUUCAAAAAUAAUGGUGAAAAGAGUAGAAAUCCAGCAGCGUGUGAACAUAACCGAGACGAGGUCCUCAGCAAUGGGAAGUGGGAACUUACACAAACAUGAUGCACAGAUCAGGAAAACUAGGGGACAACAUUUGGUGGAGGAAUGUGAGAGAUUAAAAACCAUCAGACAAGAGCAGCGAACAACAACGUCCAGAAAAACAGCUAAACUUAUCGGUCGAAGAGGACCGUGCUGA